UAUAUUUUCUCUCCCUUCAUUGUUACUUGCCCCCUUUAGUCUCUUCAAUAUUUUGUGCUAGUCUUGGAAUUGCUUGAUGCUUAAUGAACUGGUCUUCAAUGUGUGUGUAAGCUUAACCUAUUAUAUGAGCAUAUAUUGCAAAAGUUUUAAUCCAAAAAAUUUAAGACAUACACUGGGAAACAACUUUGGCUUAACACUAUGUUUGAUAAUCUAUGCAGCAUCGAGAGAUUGCUCGAAACCAAGAUAAACAUUUGCAGGACAAUUUCAAACUUAUCGAUACAACAAACAUGUGGGCGAGUUUAAGAGCUAUCAAGAGAUAUGCCGCCACUAAUGAAUCAAAGCACAAGAGGCACUCAGAUUUGAAGCUAUCACUCCCUUACUGUCAUUAGUUCAUUACUCUACUGAUAGCUUAUGUAAGAAUGAAUUCAAUGGGUCACUGCCCCAUGAAAAUGACUAUUUUCAAACUCUUCUACAGGACACAGCA